AAGUCGUAACAAGGUUUCCGUAGGUGAACCUGCGGAAGGAUCAUUACUGAGUUAGGGUCUUCCAGGCCCGAUCCCCAACCCUGUGUCUACUUAACCACGUUGCUUCGGCGGGCCUGUCUUGUUAAUUCAGGACUGCCGGGGGUCUAACCGCCCCUGGCUCGUGCCCGCCGGUGGCCUACAAUAAACUCUUGAUGAAUUGUGUCGUCUGAGUCUUAAUUAAAUUAAAAGCAAAA
rnacentral:misc_RNA from 1 species